AACGCUAGCUACAGGCUUAACACAUGCAAGUCGAGGGGAAACGACAUUGAAAGCUUGCUUUUGAUGGGCGUCGACCGGCGCACCGGUGAGUAACGCGUAUCCAACCUGCCCACCACUUGGGGAUAACCUUGCGAAAGUAAGACUAAUACCCAAUGAUAUCUCUAGAAGACAUCUGAAAGAGAUUAAAGAUUUAUCGGUGAUGGAUGGGGAUGCGUCUGAUUAGCUUGUUGGCGGGGUAACGGCCCACCAAGGCAACGAUCAGUAGGGGUUCUGAGAGGAAGGUCCCCCACAUUGGAACUGAGACACGGUCCAAACUCCUACGGGAGGCAGCAGUGAGGAAUAUUGGUCAAUGGACGAGAGUCUGAACCAGCCAAGUAGCGUGCAGGAAGACGGCCCUAUGGGUUGUAAACUGCUUUUAUAAGGGAAUAAAGUGAGUCUCGUGAGACUUUUUGCAUGUACCUUAUGAAUAAGGACCGGCUAAUUCCGUGCCAGCAGCCGCGGUAAUACGGAAGGUCCGGGCGUUAUCCGGAUUUAUUGGGUUUAAAGGGAGCGUAGGCCGGAGAUUAAGCGUGUUGUGAAAUGUAGACGCUCAACGUCUGCACUGCAGCGCGAACUGGUUUCCUUGAGUACGCACAAAGUGGGCGGAAUUCGUGGUGUAGCGGUGAAAUGCUUAGAUAUCACGAAGAACUCCGAUUG
rnacentral:rRNA from 1 species